rnacentral:rRNA from 1 species
UGAGGAAUAUUGGUCAAUGGGCGAGAGCCUGAACCAGCCAAGUAGCGUGCAGGAUGACGGCCCUCCGGGUUGUAAACUGCUUUUAGUUGGGAAUAAAAAAAGGGACUUGUCCCUUCUUGUAUGUACCUUCAGAAAAAGGACCGGCUAAUUCCGUGCCAGCAGCCGCGGUAAUACGGAAGGUCCAGGCGUUAUCCGGAUUUAUUGGGCGUAAAGCGAGCGCAGGCGGUUAGAUAAGUCUGAAGUGAAAGGCAGUGGCUCAACCAUUGUAGGCUUUGGAAACUGUUUAACUUGAGUGCAGAAGGGGAGAGUGGAAUUCCAUGUGUAGCGGUGAAAUGCGUAGAUAUAUGGAGGAACACCGGUGGCGAAAGCGGCUCUCUGGUCUGUAACUGACGCUGAGGCUCGAAAGCGUGGGGAGCGAACAGGAUUAGAUACCCUGGUAGUCCACGCCGUAAACGAUGAGUGCUAGGUGUUAGGUCCUUUCCGGGACUUAGUGCCGCAGCUAACGCAUUAAGCACUCCGCCUGGGGAGUACGACCGCAAGGUUG